UACGACCAUGUCAUAUUGAAACACCAGUUUCUGUAUGAUUACCAAGUUAAGCAAUAUUGAGCCUGUUCAGUACCUAGAUGGGUAACCACCUUGGAAUACCAGGUGCCGUAAG